rnacentral:snoRNA from 1 species
AUCCCAUGAUUUGGACAUUUCCUCAUUAGCUUCUUAAACCUGUUUCAUACCUCAUGACAGCUCUCCCUAUUUAUUUGUUGAAAGGUUUGAAUUUUUAAUCUGAUUUU